GCUUUCGUGGUGUAGUGGUCAGCAUGCUCGACGCGUAACCGAGAGGUCCGUGGUUCGAUUCCAGACGAGGGCG
rnacentral:tRNA from 1 species